rnacentral:rRNA from 1 species
CACGUAGGCACCAAGCGUUGUCCGGAUUUAUUGGGCGUAAAGAGCGUGUAGGCGGCUAGGUAGGUGGGUUGUGAAAACUGGAGGCUCAACCUUCAGACGUCGACCCAAACCCCCUGGCUAGAGUCCGGAAGAGGAGAGUGGAAUUCCUGGUGUAGCGGUGAAAUGCGUAGAGAUCAGGAAGAACACCGGUGGCGAAGGCGCUCUGCUAGGCCGCAACUGACACUGAGGGACGAAAGCUAGGGGAGCGAAUGGG